UAGAAUGCAAGUCGCACGGAGGACUUUGAUAGCUUGCUAGAGAAGUUCUUAGUGGCGCACGGGUGAGUAACACGUGAGUUACAUGCCCCUGCAGAGGGGGAUAGCCCGCCGAAAGGCGGAUUAAUACCCGGCAUCCCUACAAGGCUAAAGGUGGCAGGACCUGCCGCUCUUGGAUGGACUCGCGGCCUAUCAGCUUGUUGGUGAGGUAAAGGCUCACCAAGGCUACGACGGGUAACUGGUCUGAGAGGACGACCAGUCACACUGGAACUGAGACACGGUCCAGACACCUACGGGUGGCAGCAGUCGAGAAUCAUUCGCAAUGGACGAAAGUCUGACGGUGCGACGCCGCGUGGAGGAUGACGGCCCUAGGGUUGUAAACUCCUGUCAUCAGAGAGUAAGGUUUUUGGGUCAAUAGCCCGAAAAAUUGAUAGUAUCUGAAGAGGAAGGGACGGCUAACUUCGUGCCAGCAGCCGCGGUAAUACGAAGGUCCCAAGCGUUGUUCGGAUUUACUGGGCGUAAAGAGUACGUAGGCGGUGAGGGUAAGUCAGAUGUGAAAGCCCGGGGCUCAACCUCGGAACUGCAUCCGAUACUGCCAAGCUAGAGUAGUGGAGGGGUGUAUGGAAUUCACGGUGUAGCAGUGAAAUGCGUAGAUCUCGUGAGGAACACUAGUGGCGAAGGCGAUACACUGGACACUAACUGACGCUGAGGCUCGAAGGCUAGGGUAGCGAAAGGGAUUAGAUACCCCUGUAGUCCUAGCAGUAAACGGUGUGCGUUUGGUGUGGGCGGGUUCGACCCCGUCCGUGCCGGAGCUAACGCGUUAAACGCACCGCCUGGGGAGUACGGUCGCAAGACUAAAACUCAAAGAAAUUGACGGGGACCCGCACAAGCGGUGGAGUAUGUGGCUUAAUUCGAUGCAACGCGAAGAACCUUACCUAGGCUUGACAUGCUUGUCUAAAGCUGUGAAAGCAGUGGACUCUUCGGAGACUUUACACAGGUGCUGCAUGGCCGUCGUCAGCUCGUGUCGUGAGAUGUUGGGUUAAGUCCCGCAACGAGCGCAACCCCUGUAUUCAGUUGCCAACGGUUCGGCCGGGGACUCUGAAUAGACUGCCCAGAUCAACUGGGAGGAAGGUGGGGAUGACGUCAAGUCAGUAUGGCCUUUAUACCUAGGGCUGCACACGUACUACAAUGCCCAGCACAAUGUGACCCGAGACCGCGAGGUGGAGGAAAUCCUUAAAACUGGGCUCAGUUCGGAUUGGAGGCUGCAACUCGCCUCCAUGAAGUCGGAAUCGCUAGUAAUGGCGCAUCAGCUACGGCGCCGUGAAUACGUUCCCGGGUCUUGUACACACCGCCCGUCACAUCAUGGAAGCCGAUCACACCCGAAGUACCUAUGUCUUU
rnacentral:rRNA from 1 species